UACGUAGGUGACAAGCGUUGUCCGGAUUUACUGGGCGUAAAGAGCGCGCAGGCGGUCGAUCAAGUCGAGUGUGAAAGCCCCCGGCUCAACUGGGGAGGGUCAUUCGAUACUGAUCGACUCGAAGGCAGGAGAGGGUAGUGGAAUUCCCGGUGUAGUGGUGAAAUGCGUAGAUAUCGGGAGGAACACCAGUGGCGAAGUCGACUACCUGGCCUGUUCUUGACGCUGAGGCGCGAAAGCUAGGGGAGCAAACGGG
rnacentral:rRNA from 1 species